rnacentral:rRNA from 1 species
GAUGAACGCUGUCGGCGUGCCUAAUUCAUGCAAGUCGAGCGAACAGACGAGGAGCUUGCUCCUCUGACGUUAGCGGCGGACGGGUGAGUAACACAUGGAUAACCUACCUAUACGACUGGGAUAACUUCGGGAAACCGGAGCUAAUACCGGAUAAUAUAUUGAACCGCAUGGUUCAAUAGUGAAAGACGGUUUUGCUGUCACUUAUAGAUGGAUCCGCGCCGCAUUAGCUAGUUGGUAAGGUAAAGGCUUACCAAGGCGACGAUGCGUAGCCGACCUGAGAGGGUGAUCGGCCACACGGGAACUGAGACCAGGUCCAGACUCCAACGGGAGGCAGCAGUAGGGAAUCUUCCGCAAUGGGCGAAAGCCUGCCGGAGCAACGCCGAGUGAGUGAUGAAGGUCUUCGGAUCGUAAAACUCUGUUAUUAGGGAAGAACAAAUGUGUAAGUACCUAUGCACGUCUUGACGGUACCUAAUCAGAAAGCCACGGCUAACUACGUG